rnacentral:rRNA from 1 species
CAGUAGCGGUAAUACGAAGGGUGCAAGCGUUACUCGGAAUUACUGGGCGUAAAGCGUGCGUAGGUGGUGGUUUAAGUCCGUUGUGAAAGCCCUGGGCUCAACCUGGGAAUUGCAGUGGAUACUGGGUCACUAGAGUGUGGUAGAGGAUAGUGGAAUUUCCGGUGUAGCAGUGAAAUGCGUAGAGAUCGGAAGGAACAUCUGUGGCGAAGGCGACUAUCUGGGCCAACACUGACACUGAGGCACGAAAGCGUGGGGAGCAAACAGGAUUAGAUACCCGCGUAGUCCCUGUCUCUUAUACACA